UUGUGGAGGAGGACGCCGAAGGUGGGGCUAAUGACUGGGGUGAAGUCGUAACAAGGUAGCCGUACCGGAAGGUGCGGCUGGAUCACCUCCUAACAGGGAGACAACAAAAUGUUGAAUAUUAUUUUGUCACCUUAGGUCGAUCGGUAUCUCACGUUUUAAUUAAUUAAGAAUUUCAUUUCCUAAGUUUUUUCUAGGUCACACCCAUUAUUUUUCCUGGGCCAUUAGCUCAGGUGGUUAGAGCGCACCCCUGAUAAGGGUGAGGUCCCUGGUUCAAGUCCAGGAUGGCCCAUAUCUCUAUAGUUGGGGGUAUAGCUCAGUUGGUAGAGCGCCUGCUUUGCAAGCAGGAUGUCAGCGGUUCGAGUCCGCUUACCUCCACUGAUUACCACCUCUUCCAUAAUCUAUAGAAAGGAAAUUUUUUUGAGUUGUGAUCAAAUUCUGAACGAAUCUAGCUUCCUAAUGAAAUCAUUAAGAUGCUGGACUCAUUGAAUUAAUUUCAUUGAUUUCAGAGAACCUUGACAACUGCAUAGAUUAUUUUUAAAGACAAUAAGCAUCUUUAAUGAUGCAGAUUUAUUAUUUGUGCGAAUGCAUUAAUAACAAUUCUAUUAAGCUGAUGCUUCAAUUUUUGAAGUUAUUGGUCAAGCUACAA
rnacentral:misc_RNA from 1 species